rnacentral:rRNA from 1 species
CCAUUUUCCGCUGCAUACCAUGCAGUCGACGAUGAUCCCCAGCUUGCUGGGGGGAUUAGUGGCGAACGGGCUUAGAGCCGUGAGUAACCUGCCCUUGACUCUGGGAUAAGCCUGGGAAACUGGGUCUAAUACCGGAUAUGACUCCUCAUCGCAUGGUGGGGGGUGGAAAGCUUUUGUGGUUUUGGAUGGACUCGCGGCCUAUCAGCUUGUUGGUGAGGUAAUGGCUCACCAAGGCGACGACGGGUAGCCGGCCUGAGAGGGUGACCGGCCACACUGGGACUGAGACACGGCCCAGACUCCUACGGGAGGCAGCAGUGGGGAAUAUUGCACAAUGGGCGCAAGCCUGAUGCAGCGACGCCGCGUGAGGGAUGACGGCCUUCGGGUUGUAAACCUCUUUCAGUAGGGAAGAAGCGAAAGUGACGGUACCUGCAGAAGAAGCGCCGGCUAACUACGUGCCAGCAGCCGCGGUAAUACGUAGGGCGCAAGCGUUAUCCGGAAUUAUUGGGCGUAAAGAGCUCGUAGGCGGUUUGUCGCGUCUGCCGUGAAAGUCCGGGGCUCAACUCCGGAUCUGCGGUGGGUACGGGCAGACUAGAGUGAUGUAGGGAGACUGGAAUUCCUGGUGUAGCGGUGAAAUGCGCAGAUAUCAGGAGGAACACCGAUGGCGAAGGCAGGUCUCUGGGCAUUAACUGACGCUGAGGAGCGAAAGCAUGGGGAGCGAACAGGAUUAGAUACCCUGGUAGUCCAUGCCGUAAACGUUGGGCCACUAGGUGGUGGGGGACAUUCCACGUUUUCGCGC